rnacentral:rRNA from 1 species
UGAGUUUUAAACGGCCGCGGUACUGACCGUGCAAAGGUAGCAUAAUCAUUUGCCUUAUAAUUGAAGGCUGGAAUGAAUGGUUUGACAAGAAUACAGCUGUCUCUUUUAGAUUGUUUAGAAUUUUAUUUUUGGAUGAAAAAGUCCAGUUAUUAUUAAAAGACAAGAAGACCCUAUCGAGCUUUAGAGAAAUUAGUAGGCUUAAUAGGAAUCAAUAUAAAUAAAAGAAAGCUAUUAAAUACUUUGGUUGGGGCAACCGAGGAGCAAAUAAAGCCUCCUUUAAGCUAUAAGUCAAACUUGUGUUGAUCCAAAGAUUUUGAUCAAAGGAAUUAGUUACCGUAGGGAUAACAGCAUAAUCUUUUUCAAGAGCCCAUAUCGAAAAAAAGGUUUGUGACCUCGAUGUUGGACCAGAAUAUCCUAAAGAUGCAUUUAAGGGUUGGU